GAUGAACGCUGACAGAAUGCUUAACACAUGCAAGUCUUUGGCGAAGCUGUGCUCGCCCAGCCUAGCCAAGGCGGACGGGUGAGUAACGCGUAAGGAACUUGCCCUGCAGUCAGGGAUAACAGACGGAAACGACUGAUAAGACCUGGUAAAGUCAGGCGGACUCAUGUCCAGCCUGAUGAAAAGAGAUGCUGCAGGAGAGCCUUGCGUCCUAUUAGCUUGUUGGUGGGGUAACGGCCCACCAAGGCGAUGAUAGGUAGCCGGCCUGAGAGGGUGGACGGCCACAAGGGGACUGAGAUACGGCCCUUACUCCUACGGGAGGCAGCAGUGGGGAAUAUUGGACAAUGGGGGCAACCCUGAUCCAGCAAUUCUGCGUGCACGAUGAAGGUUUUCGGAUUGUAAAGUGCUUUCAGCAGGGAAGAAAAAAAUGACGGUACCUGCAGAAGAAGCGACGGCUAAAUACG
rnacentral:rRNA from 1 species